rnacentral:lncRNA from 1 species
GGGUACCAAAUAUGAUCUACAAUUAAUAUUUAAUUAUUAAAAGCACUUGAAGUUGGCUCUAAAUGCACAGCAAUCUCAAAAGAAUAUAAUGAUAUUUAAAAGGAAACAAAGUAACUUCUACUUUGCAUAAAACUUUCGUUAAUAGUGGAAACUAUUAAAAGUAAGGUUUGAAAGCUUGGUUUAGGUUCUAAAAAGACAUC